AAAACCAACGCCCUCUGGGCUCCUUGGUGAAUCAUGAUAACUUCACGAAUCGCACGGCCUUGCGCCGGCGAUGGCUCAUUCAAAUUUCUUCCCUAUCAACUUUCGAUGUUUGGGUAGUGGCCAAACAUGGUUGCAACGGGUAACGGAGGGUUAGGGCUCGACCCCGGAGAAGGAGCCUGAGAAACGGCUACUACAUCCAAGGAAGGCAGCAGGCGCGCAAAUUACCCAAUCCCGACUCGGGGAGGUAGUGACAAUAAAUACUGAUACAGGGCUCUUUCGGGUCUUGUAAUCGGAAUGAGUACAAUUUAAAUCCCUUAACGAGGAACAAUUGGAGGGCAAGUCUGGUGCCAGCAGCCGCGGUAAUUCCAGCUCCAAUAGCGUAUAUUAAGUUGUUGUGGUUAAAAAGCUCGUAGUUGAACCUUGGACCUGGCUGAUCUGUCCUCCUAAUCGAGCGCACGGAUUCGGUCGGGUCUUUCCUUCUGGAGAACCGCAUGCCCUUCACUGGGUGUGUCGGGGAACCAGGACUUUUAC
rnacentral:rRNA from 1 species